AACGAACGCUGGCGGCAUGCCUAACACAUGCAAGUCGAACGAAACCUUCCGGUCUAUUGGCGCACGUGUGCGUACCACGUGGGAACCUGCCCUUAGGUUACGCAUACCUCCCCUUAAGGUGUCCUCAUACCGGUUAAUCUCUUCGCACCAAAGAUUUAUCGCCUUUGGGUGGGCCCUCGUUAGCUUAGCUAGUUGGUAGGGUAAAAGCCUACCAACGCGACGAUGCAGAGCUGGUCGGAUAGGAGGAUCAGCUACAAUGGGACUGAGACACGGCCUACACUCGGACGGGAGGGAGCAGUGGGGAAUAUAGGACAAGGGGGGAUAGUGUGACACAGCAGUGCCGGGGGAGUGAUGAAGGGGGUAGGGUUGUAAAGCUCUUUUACCCGGGGUGAUAAUGACAGUACCGGGAGAAGAAGCACCGGCUAACUACGUG
rnacentral:rRNA from 1 species